UACGUAGGGUGCGAGCGUUGUCCGGAAUUAUGGCGUAAAGGGCUCGUAGGCGGUCUGUCGCGUCGGGAGUGAAAACCUCAGGGCUUGAACCCUGAGCCUGCUUCCGAUACGGGCAGACUAGAGGUAUGCAGGGGGAGACGUGGAAUUCCUGGUGUAGCGGUGAAAUGCGCAGAUAUCAGGAGGAACACCGGUGGCGAAAGCGACUCUCUGGACGGCAACUGACGCUGAGGCACGAAAGCGUGGGGAGCAAACAGG
rnacentral:rRNA from 1 species